GACGAACGCUGGCGGCGUGCCUAAUACAUGCAAGUCGAACGAGAGCGCCCGGUGCUUGCACUGGUCACUCUAGUGGCGAACGGGUGAGUAACACGUGGGUAACCUGCCCAUCAGAGGGGGAUAACAUUCGGAAACGGAUGCUAAAACCGCAUAGGUCUUCGAACCGCAUGGUUCGAAGAGGAAAAGAGGCGCAAGCUUCUGCUGAUGGAUGGACCCGCGGUGCAUUAGCUAGUUGGUGAGGUAGCGGCUCACCAAGGCCGAGAUGCAUAGCCGACCUGAGGGGGUGAGCGGCCACAUUGGGACUGAGACACGGCCCACACCUCUGCGGGGGGCAGCAGUAGAAAAUCUUCCGAAAUGGACGCAAGUCUCACGGAGCAACGCCGCGUGAGUGAAGAAGGUUUUCGGAUCGUAAAACUCUGUUGUUAGAGAAGAACAAGUGCUAGAGUAACUGUUAGCGCCUAGACGGUAUCUAACCAGAAAGCCACGGCUAACUACG
rnacentral:rRNA from 1 species